CAUGUUGCCCGGCCCGCGGCGGCCGGCGGCUGGGAGCUGCGAGACAGCGGCGGCGAGUGGUGGCCAGCGAGGCCCGGGAGGUGGUGGCCGAGGCCCAGGCGGCGGCGGCGGCGGCCCAGGAGGCGGCGGACUGGGAGCGGCGGGAGCAGGCCCGGCCCGGCUCUCGAGCGGCCGCCCGGCUGCAGCAUGCGCGCCCGCCGGGGGCUGCUGCGGCUGCCGCGCCGCUCGCUGCUCGCCGCGCUCUUCUUCUUCUCGCUGUCGUCCUCGCUGCUCUACUUCGUCUAUGUGGCGCCCGGCAUAGUGAACACCUACCUCUUCAUGAUGCAAGCUCAAGGCAUUCUGAUCCGGGACAACGUGAGAACAAUCGGUGCUCAGGUUUAUGAGCAGGUGCUUCGGAGUGCUUAUGCCAAGAGGAACAGCAGUGUAAAUGACUCAGAUUAUCCUCUUGACUUAAACCACAGUGAAACCUUCCUUCAAACUACAACAUUUCUUCCUGAAGACUUCACCUACUUUGCAAACCAUACCUGCCCUGAAAGGCUCCCUUCUAUGAAGGGCCCAAUAGACGUAAACAUGAGUGAAAUUGGAAUGGAUUACAUCCAUGAACUCUUCUCCAAAGACCCAACCAUCAAGCUCGGAGGUCACUGGAAGCCUUCUGAUUGCAUGCCUCGGUGGAAGGUGGCGAUCCUUAUCCCCUUUCGGAACCGCCACGAGCACCUCCCAGUCCUGUUCAGACACCUGAUUCCCAUGCUUCAGCGCCAGCGCCUGCAGUUUGCAUUUUAUGUGGUUGAACAAGUUGGUACCCAGCCCUUUAAUCGAGCCAUGCUUUUCAACGUUGGCUUUCAAGAAGCAAUGAAGGACUUGGAUUGGGACUGUUUAAUUUUUCAUGAUGUGGAUCACAUACCAGAAAGUGAUCGCAACUAUUAUGGAUGUGGACAGAUGCCAAGGCAUUUUGCAACCAAAUUGGAUAAGUAUAUGUAUCUGCUUCCUUAUACUGAGUUUUUUGGCGGAGUGAGUGGCUUAACAGUGGAACAGUUUCGGAAAAUCAACGGCUUUCCUAAUGCUUUCUGGGGCUGGGGUGGAGAAGAUGACGACCUCUGGAACAGUGACACAGUGAGUCAUUUGAGUGAGUGAGAAAGCUUUUGCUGUGUGUGAUUUCCAGGAGUCCAGAAUGCAGGCUAUUCUGUGAGCCGGCCAGAGGGUGACACAGGAAAGUACAAGUCCAUUCCUCAUCACCAUCGAGGAGAAGUCCAGUUUCUUGGAAGGUAUGCCCUGCUGAGGAAGUCAAAAGAACGGCAAGGGCUGGAUGGCCUCAACAACCUGAACUACUUUGCAAACAUCACAUAUGACGCCUUGUAUAAAAACAUAACUGUCAACCUGACACCCGAGCUGGCUCAGGUGAACGAGUACUGAGAGGAGAGAAUGUAUGUUGGCUUUACCCACCGCCACCAAGAAAGCAGUCUGAUGAGAUUUUUUUUUGUGGGGGGGGGUCUACACAGCAAGAGAACAGAAAUACAGUGUCUCAUGAAGGAUCACAGGGUUUGGGGGAAAAUGUGACCGCACACGCACAAACGCCUUCACUGGAUCAGCUGCUGGGACCGAGGGAGUGAGCUUGGGGACAUCCUUCGUCAGCACUGGCUUUCUGUUUUCACAAGACAGACGUCUGUCCCGCUGCUCUCUCCCCGUCUCCUACCCCACAUCCUGUCUUAGCCACAGUCUCCAGAACCCGUGAUGAACUGUGAUCUGCCGUGGUCCUGCCGUGGAGCCUGUCCCUACAUGUGACCUUGCAGCCUCUUGGCCUUCAGAGCAGAGGCAAACCCAGCACAGGGCAGCUGCGUUUUAGGAAGAGCAAAUGAAACUCCACACCAUUCUUCUAUAUCUCUGGUGUUCUCUUUGGUUUCAUUUUUUAAAAAAAAUUACCUUUGGGUGGGGAUAGAGGGUGGAGGGGAGGGUAUUUGGGAAAGAUAAAUAGACAUAAAUAUAUAACAAUCACUUCUUGAAGAAGUAUAAUUGUAAAUAAGCCAUGUAAAAUGCCUUUUUAAAAUUUAAUUUCUAGCUGGCUCCAGUUCAAACCCAGGAUUUAUAUAUUAGACCAUUUAUUUGGUUGGCAAGUACAGGAACUCAGUUAAAAUGCUGUUGAAGGAUAUCAUCUCCCGAAUGGCUGUUGCCUUGGGAAGGGAGUGGAUAUAGGGCAUGUCACAAAAGAACAAAAUAACCCGACCUUUAUUGCCGGGAGCUGGCUUCUGCCCCUUUCUUUCUCCCCACGGGUCUUGUCCUUGACUUCUGCUGUGGACUCACUCUUCCCUGUUGGCCACGUAUGCGCUCAUCCCACUCUCCGCUAAGUGGAGAGCAGGCUGCUUCCUGCCCAAAGCAGGCCCUCCACGGCUCGCUGCGCACACAUCCCUGGCUCUCCCCGCUUCAUGUUUCGUCCUUUUAUCAGCAUGUGGUUUGGGAGGGGGGUUGUAUGGGAACCCCUCCCCCCCUUCUUUUCUCUGUGGAAACUUGGCCACAGUUUCUGAACAAUGUGCCUACAUUACCAGCUGGCUUCAGUGAUUCCUCUGUUUCCCUUUUUGGUUUCUGGAAAGAUUCUUUGUCAACAUUAGUAACUGAUACACAGAACCAAGGAGCACUGGAGUAGGAAAGAAUUGAGCCAGGGAGCCGGUGACACUUGUGUGCUGUGGGGCAGCUGGGAUCCAGGAAAGACCAGAUUGAAGCUUUGAAAUUAGACUAACAAAGCUCCAGAUGGCAAGAGCCCAGGUGUGCUGCUUACACCCCCACCUGCAUUUUGAAGUCAUAUUCUUUUUUUUUUUUUUUAAAGACAGGGUCUGGCUGUGUCACCUGGGCUGGAGUACAUCGGCACCAUCACAGCUCACUGCAGCCUCCAUCUCCCAGGCUCAAGCCUUUUCCCACCUCAGCCUUCCAUGUAGCUGGGACUACAGGUGCAGACCACCAUGCCUGGCUAAUGUUUUGUAUUUUUAGUAGAGAUGGGGUUUCGCCAUGUUGCCCAGGCUCCUCUCAAAUUCCUGGACUCAAGCAAUCCACCCACGUUGACUUCCAAAGUACUGGGAUUAUAGGCAGGUGUGGGCCAUCAUGCCCAGCCUUGAAGUCAUAUUCUAAAUUGUAUUGGAAUUUGUGCCUCUUUGUUUUUUCCCCCGAACCAAAGCCCUCAAUUUGUAGUCCCCAUCCGCUUCUGCAGAAAUCUGGAAAAUGCCAGUCCCUCCCCUCCUUUCUUUUCCAUACAACAUAUUUAUAUAUUGUGAUGAGGAGUACUUUCUGAAGAGUACUUCGUAUUUUUUUUAAUUGCCUUGUUUGCCUUCAACUUCCUUGAUUUUCAUGGUUUACAUGGGUGUGUGUAGGGGGGUGUGUGUGUGUGUAUAUACGUGUGGGUUAGGGCUUUUUUCGUUGCAUGUGAUGGUUCUGUGGACAUAUGAUCCCCGCAAACUGUGGGAGUGAUUGGCCAGGCCUUGUUUUUAUGUUUGUGUUUUCUUUUGAAGAAUAGAGUGGUAUUUAGAAAAUAAAUUGCAUUGCAAAGCUCUUAUCGGCUCGUAUGAGAGAGCAGGCUCCUGCCCUUGAAAAUGCUGGUAAGCUAUAGCAUAUGUUUUUUAAAACUUUUAAGCAUUUCAUGCUUUAAAAUACCUUCACAAGGGAACAUUACUCCCAGAGGUUCAUUUGGUUUUCCUUUGUUUUAUGGUGCAUAUAGCAAUAAAGGACCCCGACCCCAUUUCGCCCUCCACCAUGCAACCCCACCCCCAUCGGGCCUUUGUCCCUGCCGCAGCUUUUCUCCCCUUCUCAUUCUCCUCUCCCUUUUCCUCACAGAAGGCUGUGAGUUGCUUUCAUUGUGACAACACUGUGAUGUCAUUUGGAAGGAUUUGCCAGUACAGACUGAUUCUGAAUUAUAGGCGGCAGUGUUGUUUGAAGCUCUACAUUACCAUAAUUGCCAUCAAGCACACACUGUUGGCAAAAGACUAACACCUGACUUUUGAAAUGCUUAUAAGAGAACAAAAGGAAAGGUCUCUUUUCACUGCGUAAAGUGGGGUCACUUCGAUACCCUUGCGGUCACGUCCAAGUCUGUCUGAUGAGUAUGGAAUCUCUGAAUGUAACUGUCAUGCAUCUACCAGGUCUUGAAUAUUAUAUGGGAAAUGUCAUAGUUAAAAACGUAUAGCCAGGCCCGUGUGCCGUUAAUAGCGUGGAAUUGUCAUGUUAAAAAAAACAGGAACCAAGUGUGACCUUGUGCAUAUGUUGACAGCUGAAAUUCUUCAUCGCUACUGAUGGGUGGCCCCUUAAAUUAACCUUGUCUUUGAUUGCUGUGUGCAGGGAAAGGUGUCCCUGUUAUGCUGUUUUUGGGGGAAAGGGAGUACUUACAAGAAUACUCAUUUUGACAUAAUAGGUCCUCUUGUCAAGAGAUCCUCUACCACAGACAUUAAUAGCUGAGCAGCAGCCACAUGGAUUGAUUGUAUCCACCACCAUUGACAAUAGCAUUGAGCGUAGCUAGCUUAUUUCCAUCACUACGUGUUUUUGAGCUUGCUCUUAUGUUUUAAGAGGUGCCAGGGGUACAUUUUUGCACUGAAAUCUAAAGAUGUUUUAAAAAACACUUUUCACAAAAAAUAGUCCUUUGUCAUUACAUUAUUUACUCAUGUGUUUGUACAUUUUUGUAUGUUAAUUUAUGAAUGA